CAUUCAUCCACAGCAGGAAAACUCACACCAAGGUGGCAGGUUGUGCUCAUGAGAAGGAGAAGCAGCAGGAAUUUAUGAUAUCGAAGCUGGGAGGAGCAGUUCUUUUGGAGAAACACACACAAGCCAUUCUACUUGCAGCCCUUCCCGGUUCCAGUGCUAAGGUAAUUUUCAUGCAAGAGGGUCCGGGUGAAGGAACAGCUGUUGCUCCCGUGUCCUCUCUGUUAUCAUCCCACUACCAGUGAUGCUUCGUAAUCGUUCCAUUGUACCGCUAUGUUUCCUAUAAAGCCGAACAAUGAAUAAUGGAUGCAAAAACUAAGUGGCGUUGCAGGUUCAUUAGUAUGCAUAUUGUUAGAAAUUCAUUUCAGUCAGUGUUGUGAAGCCACUCUCCUCUCUUUUGUAUUUUGAGGUGUUGCUGCUUCAGGCUCUGCUAAUGUUCAUUUCGUAUUCAUUCAUUUGUGCCUGUAGUUUUACCUGGAUUGUGGGCUAUUGUUCUUAUUUGCAAAGCCUGGGUUUAAUUUCCUGUGGGAAGCUUUUCUUUUGUCUCCAGGGCUCAUUCUCCUAUUAUCGUCUGCCUCGAGAGUACUAAAGCACUGUCCUGCUGGUAAAAUAUAAUUUGUUUUGUAGGGUUCUAAUGAAAUUUUUACCACUUCUGUCCUCAAAAAUAUAAAGAUCAAGAUUUUCCCACCUUUCCGUUCCAGCUGUCAGUACUGAGCGCCUCACACCUCUUCAUUCUUUUCCUGCUCCUGAACACUGGGUAUUUCAUGAGCUCCCCAGACACUAUCCUGCAAAUAACUGUGUCCUUCCCCCCACCCAUCCUCUACCAGAGGCUUUGCUGGCAAUGCUGGGUGCCUGGAGAGAAUUCUAACCAGCCAUGCGGAUAGCAUGCUGUGUAAAAGUGUUUUCUUAAAAAGUUGAGUAGAUACUGCUUUCCGCUCCGUUUCAGGCCUCCAGCCCCUCUUACUACAUCUUGCAGUUGAUCCCUUUAUUUAUAUGGCAUACAUAUUUUAUAUUUUCCUCAUUAGGCUGUUCGGUAACAACCCAUUAUCUUUCAACAAACUCAUAGUACCAAAAGCAUUCAUAUUAUUGCCCUUAUUUUUAUUUCUCUUUCAUGAUGUACUUCCUCACACAUUCAGACUUGUACUUCCUAACAACAGCAUAUCAUUAGGUCUUGCCUUCAGCUAUUGUUAACGAGGAACUGACAGAAUGCAGUAGGCGAAUCCCAAGCUUUUUUUUUUCCCCUCACUGUCCUAUCUGUAUCUGGCUGAUGGUCAUAUAGAGCUAUCUGUUCAAGUACAAAACAAACUUCGUUAACACUGGAAAAGCAAUAAUAGUGAAUUGUAGCUGUGCUCUCCCAAAACACACUGUACAAAAGAACGGUCGCCUCCAGCAGCCACCGUAAAAUGGAAUUUGCAGUGAUAAUAUUCAGUGUAUGCACAGUGCAUAUGAAGUAAUACAGUAGCAACUGAUAGCGGUUUCUCUGCACGUGAAGAGACUCUUUUACUGAAACUGUUUCUCCUCUUUGAAGGUGUAUGUAAAGCCUUCUCAACAUUACAAGCAGUACUGUUUGCUCAGGAUAAAGUAUUCAGACCAGGUUGCCGAAGAUAGGUGUUGAAAUGCAAGUAAAUGUGUUGUCUUACAUUUGGAAUCAAGAACCAGUAGCCGCAUUUUGAAAGUGCUGGUGUCAGUUUGUUGUCGCCUCCAUUAUCAUUACCUUUGUUCCCCUGUAGAAAAGCCCAGCUCUCAGUUCUUUGGUCAUACGAAGCCGAAGAUGAAAACAGAUCUACUAGCACUAGUAAGGGUGACAAGACCAAGUGAGAUAGGGCUUCACAAAGCUAGUCUGUCACUGGGAAGCUUGCAAUCUCGGCUUCAUCUAGGGUGCCCCUUCUGCUGGUGGUGACAGCAGGUUGAGUGCGCUGGAGAUAAUACAGCUCUGUGAUAAGAGAGCAGAACUGUACAUCCCUUAGCAGAGUGUGAGCGCUCAUAGAUAACUCGGAAUGAGCAUAUCUAGAAGAUGCAAGAGUGUGACAUCAAGACAUACUACAUGAGGAAACAGGGAUCAAUCAUAAGCAGCUCAUUUUCAUUUUUAUUAUGGCAAGUUGCUGGCUAAUGGUAAAUUGAACAGAUGCUUAUCUCUGAAGUUUGAAAAAUGAAAAAUUUCUAUCUUGCAAAAAUAUGAAGAGCAUGCAGUUCCACUACAGCAAUUUUAAUGACCACAGGAACAAGCAUCCUCAUAAGCAUCAUGGCCUCAUACAUCAUGUGUGCAUAGAUAUAUGUAUGGAUAC
rnacentral:lncRNA from 7 species